rnacentral:rRNA from 1 species
AUUGAACGCUGGCGGCAGGCCUAACACAUGCAAGUCGAACGAGCGGCGGACGGGUGAGUAAUGUUUGGGGAUCUGCCCGAUAGAGGGGGAUAACUACUGGAAACGGUAGCUAAUACCGCAUACUAUAGGAUGAACCCAUAUGGGAUUAGCUAGUGGGUGGGGUAAAGGCUCACCUAGGCGACGAUCUCUAGCUGGUCGGAGAGGAUGAUCAGCCACACUGGGACUGAGACACGGCCCAGACUCCUACGGGAGGCAGCAGUGGGGAAUAUUGCGCAAUGGGGGCAAGCCUGAUGCAGCCAUGCCGCGUGUAUGAAGAAGGCCUUAGGGUUGUAAAGUACUUUCAGUGGGGAGGCGUUACCCGCAGAAGAAGCACCGGCUAACUCCGUGCCAGCAGCCGCGGUAAUAC